AUGACGGGAUCAGCCAACCUUAGGGACUGCAAGCAGCUGGAGAAGAUGGUGAGGAAGCACGCGCAGUCGGGGCGCCUGUGCGGCGCCAUCGGGGCGGCGCCGGCGCCGGCGCUUGCCCGAUGGGGCGUGCUCGGAGGCUUCACGGCGACCUGCCAUCCGGACCUGCUGGGGCGGAUGGGCGACGAAGACGGGGUGAUCGCCGUGGAUGACAGGGUGGUGAAGGACAGGAACGUGGUGACCAGCCAGGGCGUCGGGACGGCCAUCGAGUUCGCGCUCGAACUGGUGGAGCAGCUCUACGGCCAACUCACGGCGGAGGAGGUCGCCGGACCUUUGCAUAUGCGCCCCCAACAAGGAGUCAAGUAUGUCAUCCAAAAGUACAACCAGAUCCAAUGGAAAUGCACUGGCACGGUUCUUGUGCCUGUUGCCGACGGCUCGGUGGAGAUGGAGGCUCUCAACCUGAUCGAUGUCCUGCGGAGGGCAAGCGCACGCGUCACGGUCGCUUCGGUCGAGGACACGCCGCGCAUCAUGACCCGCCAUUACAAGCUCAAUCUGAUCGCCGAUGUGAUGCUGGAACAGGCUGCUAAAAUGGAGUUCGACCUCAUCGUCAUGCCGGGUGGUCUUCCUGGUGCUCUCAAGUUCACCAGCACGGAUAAACUUGUGGGCAUGCUGAAGAAACAGGCGGAAUCUGGUAGACCCUAUGGUGCAAUAUGCGCUUCCCCUGCUUACGUCCUCGAGCCCCACGGAUUACUCAAGGGUAAGAAAGUGACAUCAUUUCCACCCAUGGCGCACCUGCUUACAGACCAGAGCGCAUGCGAAUACAGGGUCGUCGUCGACGGUAACCUUAUCACAAGCAGAGCACCAGGGACCGCCACAGAGUUUGCCCUGGCAAUUGUUGAGAAGCUAUUUGAUGAGGAGAAAGCGAUCGCGUUAGCCAAGGAGUUGGUUUUUAUGUGA
rnacentral:rRNA from 1 species